AAGCAUAUCAAUAAGCGGAGGAAAAGAAACUAACUAGGAUUCCCUUAGUAACGGCGAGUGAAACGGGAUAAGCCCAACUUGAAAAUCUACAGGCUUUGUCUGUCGAAUUGUAGUCUAUAGAAGCAACCUCUGAGGCGGACCUGGAUUAAGUUCCCUGGAAGGGGACGUCAGAGAGGGUGAGAACCCCGUCAUCCUUGGUCUUAGCCUCUUCACGAGAUGCUUUCGCAGAGUCGGGUUGGUUGAGAAUCCAGCCCUAAUUGGGAGGUACAUCCCUUCUAAGGCUAAAUACCGGUAGGAGACCGAUAGCGAACAAGUACCGCGAGGGAAAGAUGAAAAGGCCUUUGAAAAGAGAGUUAAAAAGUGCUUGAAAUUGUUGAGGGGGAAGUGUAUUAGAGGCGUGGGUGCUUCUAGGCUGUAUGUAGGCUCUAACCGGCCUGCCCCUCAGUGCUAGAAGCUGGUCAGCAUGGUUUAGCUUAGCGGGAUAAAAGCAGAGGUUGUUACUUUGCCUAUGCCGCUUCGCUGAUCGAGGUCUAAGAGCGCUUUGCCCUUCGGGAGCUGCGUUCUCAUGAUGCUGGCGGAAGCCCCUAAUACAGCCCGUCUUGAAACACGGACCAAGGAGUCUAACAUGUAUGCGAGUUGGUGGGUGGAAAACCCAUGAAGCGUAAGGAAACUAACUGGUGGGAUGGCCUGUGCCUGCACCAUCGACCGACCAUGAUCUUCUGUGAAAGGUUUGAGUACGAGCAUACCUGUUGGGACCCGAAAGAUGGUGAACUAUGCCUGAGCAGGGCGAAGCCAGAGGAAACUCUG
rnacentral:rRNA from 1 species